rnacentral:snoRNA from 1 species
GUGCGAUGAUGUAUUUUAUUCAACACACUCAUUCUGAAAGAAAUGUGGAAAAAUAAUGAACUGAGCACA